UGCAACCUGAGCUCAGGCGUGAUACCCGCUGAACUUAAGCAUAUCAUUACG
rnacentral:rRNA from 1 species